rnacentral:tRNA from 1 species
GCGCCCGUAGCUCAGCUGGAUAGAGCGCUGCCCUCCGCAGGCAGAGGCCGGGAGCUCGAAUCUCUUCGGGCGCGCCA